rnacentral:rRNA from 1 species
AAUAUUGGACAAUGGGGGCAACCCUGAUCCAGCCAUGCCGCGUGUGUGAAGAAGGUCUUCGGAUUGUAAAGCACUUUAAGUAGGGACGAAGGGCUUUAGGCUAAUACCCUGAAGCUUUCACGUUACCAACAGACUAAGCAACGGCUAACCCUGUGCCAGCAGCCGGGGUAAUACAGAGGGUGCAAGCGUUAAGCGGAAUUUCUGGGCGUAAAGCGCGCGUAGGUGGUUCAGUAAGAUGGGUGUGAAAUCCCCGGGCUUAACCUGGGAACUGCUUUCAUAACUGCUGAGCUAGAGUACGGUAGAGGGUAGUGGAAUUUCCUGUGUAGCGGUGGAAUGCGUAGAUAUAGGAAGGAACACCAGUGGCGAAGGCGACUACCUGGACUGAUACUGACACUGAGGUGCGAAAGCGUGGGGAGCAAAC